rnacentral:rRNA from 1 species
CACUAUGCCUAGCCGUAAACAUAGACAGUUCACACACUCCACUGUCCGCCCGGGAACUACGAGCAUUAGCUUAAAACCCAAAGGACUUGGCGGUGCUUUAUACCCCCCUAGAGGAGCCUGUUCUAGAACCGAUAAUCCCCGUUCAACCUCACCCUUCCUUGUUCUUUCCGCCUAUAUACCGCCGUCGUCAGCCUACCCUGUGAAGGCCUUAUAGUAAGCAAAAUCGGCACAGCCCAAAACGUCAGGUCGAGGUGUAGCGUAUGGAAGGGGAAGAAAUGGGCUACAUUCCCUAUUACAGGGCAUACGAAUGAUUUCGCUGAAACGCAUAUCUGAAGGAGGAUUUAGCAGUAAGCAGGAAGUAGAGUGUCCUGCUGAAGCCGGCUCUGAAGCGCGCACACACCGCCCGUCACUCUCCCCGAGCUAAUAUACUUAGAUAACUAAAACACCAUAACUGCAAAGGGGAGGCAAGUCGUAA